rnacentral:lncRNA from 1 species
CGUUCACCUGGAGCUCCACCUCAUAUUGGGCUCCCACUAGCAUUUUCUAUGGUAGACGGCUCCUCCUUAUAUAAGAGAGCAUCGAUCAAUCCUUAUGGUUGAUCUCGAUCUUGAUCACACCGAACUUCUCUAUCUUCUUUAAUCUUGAUCACUACUAUCGAACCUCGACAAUCGUGCACUCUGGUACCACCUAUUUUUAAUGCCAAUUACGCACUUUGGUACCUUCUGGCUCUAAUACCAAUUGUUCGAGAUCUAGUACCAUCUUGUUGCAGUAGAAAAAAAAGAAGAGAUAAAAGAGAACACAACAAAUAUGUGGAUCAGCCUAAGACUUACCUCCACGGGGCAAGCAAGCUUUCCUAUGAGAAAGAAACAAAUACAAGAGGAGAUCAUAUACUCUCAACUCUCAUAUAUCAAUUCUCUUUCUCAAUCUGAAG